UGGGGAAUUUUGGACAAUGGGCGAAAGCCUGAUCCAGCAAUGCCGCGUGUGUGAAGAAGGCCUUCGGGUUGUAAAGCACUUUUGUCCGGAAAGAAAUCCUUGGCUCUAAUACAGUCGGGGGAUGACGGUACCGGAAGAAUAAGCACCGGCUAACUACGUGCCAGCAGCCGCGGUAAUACGUAGGGUGCAAGCGUUAAUCGGAAUUACUGGGCGUAAAGCGUGCGCAGGCGGUUUGCUAAGACCGAUGUGAAAUCCCCGGGGCUCAGCCUGGGAACUGCAUUGGUGACUGGCAGGCUAGAGUAUGGCAGAGGGGGGUAGAAUUCCACGUGUAGCAGUGAAAUGCGUAGAGAUGUGGAGGAAUACCGAUGGCGAAGGCAGCCCCCUGGGCCAAUACUGACGCUCAUGCACGAAAAGCGUGGGGAGCAAAACAGGAUUAGAUACCCUGGUAGUCCCACGCCCUAAACGAUGUCAACUAGUUGUUGGGGAUUCAUUUCCUUAGUAACGUAGCUAACGCGUGAAG
rnacentral:rRNA from 1 species